rnacentral:pre_miRNA from 1 species
UUUGUACUCUCUCCGUCCCAAAAUUCUUGUCUUAUAUUUGUCUAGAUACGGAUGUAUCUAAUACUAAAAUGUGACUUGAUACAUCCGUAUUUAGACAAAUUUAAGACAAGAAUUUUAGGACGGAUGGAGUAUGGA